GACGAACGCUGGCGGCGUGCUUAACACAUGCAAGUCGAGCGAUGAAGCUCCUUCGGGAGUGGAUUAGCGGCGGACGGGUGAGUAACACGUGGGUAACCUGCCCCAUAGAGGGGAAUAGCCUUCCGAAAGGAAGAUUAAUACCGCAUAAGAUUGUAGCUUCGCAUGAAGCAGCAAUUAAAGGAGCAAUCCGCUAUGAGAUGGACCCGCGUCGCAUUAGCUAGUUGGUGAGGUAACGGCUCACCAAGGCGACGAUGCGUAGCCGACCUGAGAGGGUGAUCGGCCACAUUGGGACUGAGACACGGCCCAGACUCCUACGGGAGGCAGCAGUGGGGAAUAUUGCACAAUGGGGGAAACCCUGAUGCAGCAACGCCGCGUGAGUGAUGACGGUCUUCGGAUUGUAAAACUCUGUCUUCAGGGACGGUAAUGACGGUACCUGAGGAGGAAGCCACGGCUAACUACGUGCCAGCCGCCGCCGUAA
rnacentral:rRNA from 1 species